UGAAUACGAGACGCUAAGGCGUCGAAGUAGUGUAUGUCAUACUUCCAAGAAAAGCUUGCACUGUCAUAGAUAAAAAACGCCUGUACCAUAACCGACACAGGUGGGUAGGUAGAGUAUACUAAGGGGCGCGAGAUAACUCUCUCUAAGGAACUCGGCAAAAUAACUCCGUAACUUCAGGAGAAGGAGUGCCUUAUUCGUAAGGUUGCAAUAACAAGAUCCAAGCAACUGUUUAUCAAAAACACAGGUCUCCGCUAAGUCGUAAGACGAUGUAUGGGGGCUGACGCCUGCCCAGUGCCAGAAGGUUAAAGAAGUUGGUUAGCAAUUGCGAAGCUGAUAACUGAAGCCCUGGUGAACGGCGGCCGUAACGAUAACGGUCCUAAGGUAGCGAAAUUCCUUGUCGGGUAAGUUCCGACCCGCACGAAAGGCGUAAUGAUUUGGAUACUGUCUCGGAGAGGGGCUCGGUGAAAUAGACUUGUCUGUGAAGAUGCGGACUACCUGCACCAGGACAGAAAGACCCUAUGAAGCUUUACUGUAACUUGAAAUUGAAAUUGGACUUUAUUCGCGCAGUAUAGGUGGGAGGCGUUGAUUAUAAUCUUGUGGGACUAUUGGAGCCAUCAGUGAGAUACCACUCUUGUAAUGUUAGAUUUCUAACUUUGAAUCAUUAUCUGGUCAAAGAACAGUUUCAGGCGGGCAGUUUGACUGGGGCGGUCGCCUCCUAAACGGUAACGGAGGCGUACAAAGGUUUCCUCUGAACGGUUAGAAAUCGUAUCUAGAGUGUAAAGGCAUAAGGAAGCUUGACUGUGAGACCUACAAGUCGAGCAGGGACGAAAGACGGUCUUAGUGAUCUGACGGUACUGAGUGGAAAGGCCGUCACUCAACGGAUAAAAGUUACUCUAGGAUAAUAGGCUGAUCUCCCCCAAGAGUUCACAUCGACGGGGAGGUUUGGCACCUCGAUGUCGGCUCAUCGCAUCCUGGGGCGGUAGUACGUCCCAAGGGUUGGGCUGUUCGCCCAUGAAAGCGGUACGCGAGCUGGGUUCAGAACGUCGUGAGACAGUUCGGUCCAUAUCCGGUGUAGGCGUUAGAAUAUUGAGAGGAGCCUUCUUUAGUACGAGAGGACCGAGAAGGACAUACCUCUGGUGUACCAGUUAUCGUGCCAACGGUAAACGCUGGGUAGCUAUGUAUGGAGUGGAUAACCGCUGAAAGCAUCUAAGUGGGAAGCCCACCUCAAGAUAAGUAUUCUCA
rnacentral:rRNA from 1 species